ACUCCUGCGGGAGGCAGCAGUGGGGAAUUUUGGACAAUGGGCGAAAGCCUGAUCCAGCAAUGCCGCGUGAGUGAAGAAGGCCUUCGGGUUGUAAAGCUCUUUUGUCAGGGAAGAAACGGUGAAAGCUAAUAUCUUUUGCUAAUGACGGUACCUGAAGAAUAAGCACCGGCUAACUACGUGCCAGCAGCCGCGGUAAUACGUAGGGUGCAAGCGUUAAUCGGAAUUACUGGGCGUAAAGCGUGCGCAGGCGGUUUUGUAAGUCUGAUGUGAAAUCCCCGGGCUCAACCUGGGAAUUGCAUUGGAGACUGCAAGGCUAGAAUCUGGCAGAGGGGGGUAGAAUUCCACGUGUAGCGGUGAAAUGCGUAGAUAUGUGGAGGAACACCGAUGGCGAAGGCAGCCCCCUGGGUCAAGAUUGACGCUCAUGCACGAAAGCGUGGGGAGCAAACAGGAUUAGAAACCCUGGUAGUCCCAUGA
rnacentral:rRNA from 1 species